UAGGGAAUCUUCCGCAAUGGACGAAAGUCUGACGGAGCAACGCCGCGUGAGUGAAGAAGGCCUUCGGGUCGUAAAACUCUGUUGCCGGGGAAGAACAAGUGCCGUUCGAACAGGGCGGCGCCUUGACGGUACCCGGCCAGAAAGCCACGGCUAACU
rnacentral:rRNA from 1 species